rfam:Nippostrongylus brasiliensis genome assembly, scaffold: NBR_scaffold0003235
GCCUCGAUAGCUCACUUGGGAGAGCGUUAGACUGAAGAUCUAAAAGUCGCCAGUUCGAUCCUGGUUCGGGGCA